rnacentral:rRNA from 1 species
UACGUAGGGUGCGAGCGUUGUCCGGAAUUACUGGGCGUAAAGAGCUCGUAGGUGGUUUGUCGCGUUGUUCGUGAAAACUCACAGCUUAACUGUGGGCGUGCGGGCGAUACGGGCAGACUGGAGUACUGCAGGGGAGACUGGAAUUCCUGGUGUAGCGGUGGAAUGCGCAGAUAUCAGGAGGAACACCGGUGGCGAAGGCGGGUCUCUGGGCAGUAACUGACGCUGAGGAGCGAAAGCUAGGGGAGCAAACGGG